UACGUAGGGUGCAAGCGUUGUCCGGAAUUAUUGGGCGUAAAGAGCUCGUAGGCGGUCUGUUGCGUCGGCUGUGAAAACCCGAGGCUCAACCUCGGGCCUGCAGCCGAUACGGGCAGACUAGAGUUCGGCAGGGGAGACUGGAAUUCCUGGUGUAGCGGUGAAAUGCGCAGAUAUCAGGAGGGAACACCCGGUGGGCGAAGGCG
rnacentral:rRNA from 1 species